rnacentral:rRNA from 1 species
CCUACGGGAGGCAGCAGUGAGGAAUAUUGGUCAAUGGUCGGGAGACUGAACCAGCCAAGCCGCGUGAGGGAUGAAGGUACAGAGUAUCGUAAACCUCUUUUGUCAGGGAACAAAGGCGGGGACGUGUCCCCGGAUGAGUGUACCUGAAGAAAAAGCAUCGGCUAACUCCGUGCCAGCAGCCGCGGUAAUACGGAGGAUGCGAGCGUUAUCCGGAUUUAUUGGGUUUAAAGGGUGCGCAGGCGGUCUGUUAAGUCAGCGGUCAAAGCCCGGGGCUCAACCCCGGCCCGCCAUUGAAACUGGCAGGCUCGAGUUGGAGAGAAGUAUGCGGAAUGCGCGGUGUAGCGGUGAAAUGCAUAGAUAUCGCGCAGAACUCCGAUUGCGAAGGCAGCAUGCCGGCUCCACACUGACGCUGAGGCACGAAAGCGUGGGUAUCGAACAGGAUUAGAUACCCCUGUAGUC